GUUUAACCAUAUUAGUUAAUUACUGUUAAACUGAUUAAUUCAAUUAACUUGUCUGAAUCCAAAUUGUAGUUUUUUAUUGCAGAUUGUAGUUUAUUAUAAUUUCAUGCCAUGUAUCCUUGGGCAAGCUCAUUGCUACACGGUAAGCCUUGUAUUCAUCUUUUAUUGAUUCCCAAUAGCAUUCUCUACACCACCUUCCAGUAAUUGUACCAAAACUUAUCCAUUCUCCAGUCUUCAACCUGACCUUUACCUCCCAUGAUCUCCACAAAUGGCCUCACCUCCUACUUUCCCGAGAUCAGUCCAUUCAUCAUGAGUUCCCUUAAGUCUUAUCACAGGAUCAUGGGAUUUGGAGAUGGAUAGAACCUUUAAAAAUCAUUGAUUCUGGCCUUUUCAUUUUAUAGAUAAAGCCCAGAAAAGUUAAGCUUACUCAAGGUCACACAGGAAAUAAGUAGAAAACCUGGUCCAUCUGAUUCCAAAUCUGUCUUUUUUUUUUUCAUGAUAUUCUUCCAUACUUGAAUCUUUACCCUUACUGUCCUUUCUUUCCUGUCUCAGUGAAAGAGAUUGCUCUCCUUGUUAAGGCCAAUCUCUCUCCCUUGGCAUUGGCACCUAUUGAAUUGUAUGGAGUUGGAUUGAAUUGAAUAGACAACCUUAAACCAAAUCAAGAGUUUGUACAAAAAGCUAAAGUAUUGGAAGGGAAGAGUCUCAAUUAUGUGAGAUUAAUUCCAUCUCACUAUAAAAAUAUAAGUUGCUAUUAAAUUUGGACUCUGGCAUUGUAAUCUUUAUGAAAUCAUUCUCGUGAGGAUUUCAACAUGGCAGACCCACAUCUCAAUAUAAAUUGAAUAUCGGGAGUUGUUCUUUUCCAUUUGGCAGCUAUUGAUUUCCUCUCUCCACUGGUGUUGAAUUGAAGCUACUGCCUUGGGAUAGUGACUCCAAUGAAUCUAAUUCUUUAUCAUCUUCAAACAUCUUGGCUCAGACCUCUGUCUCAUUGAUUGGUGACAGCAGAGUUCCAAGAAUGGAGGUAGUAUGUAUAUGUGCAUGUGUGUGUGCGUGUGUGUGUUUAAAAUGUACCUCCUUGGCUUAGAUUAGAAAAGGAAAUUUUAUUUUUUAUGUGCCCCCCCAAAAAAGUGGCAAAAUUGUAUUAAUUCAGUUUCUAUAUGGUAAAACCUCGUAGCUUCAGAGCUUUCUAGCACAGAAUUAGUGGGAAUUCAGACAAGUACUGGCUGAUAUUUCCCUCUGUUUCAUCAACUCAUUCUUCAUGUUUAAGAGGAAAUUACCAAGAUAAACAAGAUAGUAAAAGAGCAGUAUUUAAAACUGUCAAAAGAACAAACCAUUUCCAAGAACUUAUUUUUUUAUAAAAAGAGAUCUGCUUAUUAGUUGAAAUCUUCCCUUAUCCUUGAAGUAAGUUCUCUAAAUUUCACUAAUGGCCAUAAUAGUCACUGAUACUUCCACAGCACUUCAAAAAGUUGCAGAACUCUUCAUGGGAACUCUCAAAGGUAGGUGAUGAAAGUAUUAUUUAUUCAUAUUUAUAGAUAAGGGAAACUGAGGCUCUAUGAGGCUAUAAAUGAUUGAGAUUCAAAGCCUUGUAUAUUCUCACUUUUACCACUGUUCGUAUGGUAGAGGAGAUAGAGUAUGAGGUUUGGAGUCAGGAAGACAUGAGUUCAAAUGUAGCCUCAUCUCCCUUCCUAGACAUGCAGUACUGCUAGUCAUUUAAUUGCUCUUUGCUUCAAUUUCUUAUCUGCAAAAUGGGGACAAUAAGAGCACUUACCUCACAGGGCUGUUACAUAUAAAAAGUGCUUUGUGAGCCUUAAGAAUCUAUUGAAUGUCAACUCUAUUGAGCCUUGCCUACCUAUGCAGAUUUUGUAUUACCUGAAAGUUUUAAAAGUAUAUUUUUGUUUAAAUAUAUUUCACUCAUUUGGAUGGACUUUCUCUCUAAUCUAUAUUAGUAACAUCUGUCUGUAUUUUUGAUGUGAGCUUUUAUUUUUCUCCAUGGAUUUUCACAGUAUCCAAGUAAUGAUAGGAACUAAAAUUUAUAACAAGAUUUGUAAAGUACUUUACAUGGAUUGAUUACUAAACAUUUAUCGGGUGUCUAAUAUGUACACUAUUCUAGGUGCUGGGGAUACAAAAAGAGGUAAAAGAAAGUCCCUGCCCAAAAGGAGCUUACCUCCUUACCUCAUCUGAUUUUUAAAACAACCCUGGGAAGAAGGUACUAUUGUUAUCUCGUUUUUUUACACAUGAGGAAACUGAGGUUGUGAAGAGUUAAGUGAUUUGCCCACAAAACUAGCAAAUGUUGGAAUUCAGUACUCUGUCUCCUAAGCCAGAAUGUACCUGCAGGCAAAUUUAAUUAGUUAUCUAAAGGAAUUUAGUAAAAUAGCUUAACAUUUUUUGGGGGGGAUUUCUAAUUAUCAAAUACUCAAAUACUGAAUUUAGUGGUCUAUUUUAAAUGUUUUUUUUUUAAUAUUAAGAAUUCAAUCUAGAGUACAUGAAAAUUCAAGGUUUAAACUGGAGUUUUGUCCUCCAAUCACUUGUCCUGUCCUUAAUUCGCUGUCCUGAGAUAGCCUCAAGGGGACAGUUCAGUUUAUGUGAACCCUAGAAUCAGUGACCUCAAGAGUUCCUGUCAUUCCCAACACUUGAGAACAUAUGGUCUCCUAGACCCACCUGCCCUCCAAUGAUCCCAUAAUCACCUGGUCCCACAAGGUGAGUUAAGAGUCUGCUGAAAACUCGAAGCAUUCCUACUUUUUCUCUUUUCUCCCAAGUCUUUUCUGCAGAGGCAAUUUGCUUGGACACUGUGUCUCAGUUCAAAGGCUAUCUGGUGCUCUCUUAAUUCCAAGCCUAAAGUAAUCAUUGCAAUUCUGAUUUCAGAUGUGGAAAUAAUUGACGAGAAAAGCCUGCCUAAUAAUAAGAUAAGUGUUAUGCAAUGAUGCUUAGCAAAGCAAAAUGGAGAGUCAGCUGAUAAAUGAGAGUUACUUUGGGAUGUCUUAUCAACCUUUCUUUGACUUCGUUUUAUUAAGUCUGAGUUUUUGGAAGCAGAAUUGGCCCUAAACAUAGGCAAAAUAGGCAACUGUCCUUUUGAUGAAUUUUUUCUUAAAAGUUUACUUGUCCCUACUCAUGACAACUCACUUAACCUGUCUGUGUCUCAAUUUCUCCAUCUGUAAAAUGAGGGAAUUGGACUUGAUGGCCUCUAGCUCUCAAUCUAUGAUCCUGUGAAAUCAUUCUCUCCACUGAUUUCCUCUGAGAUUAGGCAUUGGGCUUCUAGAAAUCCCCUGCCAAAAUACAACUCUUAUAUGAGUGAGAUAACACAUCAAGCCAUAAGGUGCCAUGGCUUCAUUAGUCAGAGCAAACUUGUCAGAUUAGUUGGUCGUUACUGCAGAAAGCAAAGAUCAGAGCUCUAGGUAUAUAUAAUAUGUUCUAGGUAAAUUCUAAAUAGGAGGAAGCCUUUUACACUAACCUACUAACUGAUCUUGUAAUGAGUUCAUAUUAGAAGGAGAGGAAGGCAUCUUUUAAAAACCUACUAUGUGUCAGUUACUAUGCUAAGCACUUUACAAAUAUUGUCUUAUUUGAUCCUCAUGACAACUUUGUGGGAGUAGGUGCUAUUAUUAGUAUCCCAAUUUUCCAUUUGAGGUAAUAGAGACAGUCAGAGGUUUUGACUUGCCCAGGUCUAUACAACUGGCAAGUGUCAAGAUUUGAACUUGGGUCUUCCUCAGAUCAGGACCAGCUCUACCAUUAUUGUACCAUCCAGGUGACUUUUCAUCUCAGGUAACAUAGGCUUCUGGAGACAAUACUUUAAUUUUGUUCCUUUGGUUUUCCUUAUAUCUUUGCCCUUUAAAAUUCUACUUCUGUUAACCUAAUUUUCAGAGAAUUAACUUACAUAAAAUAUCUGACAUUUGUUCUAAGUUCUCUGGGCUCAGAUUUAACCUAUUUCUUCCUUACUCAAAUACUCAAAAGGAUCGGUGAUCUCACUGAUGGAAGAGUUCUCACCAGCAACGGAGAUUGUAACUCAUUUUUUGCCUAUGCAUUUGGUAUAGUUCUUGUCGAUAUUUUCUCAAAAGAUCACAUAGGAGCCUCCUCAAGGCUUGAAGCCUUCCUUAUUUUCUUCUUUUCCAAGGCUGUUAGUAGAGCCCUCUAGCUACCCACCUAUUGUCUUUGUUCUUUCUAUCUUUUCUUUUCUGCCAUCAUCUAUUCCUGAGAUAAAAUUCUUAGAUGAUAUUCUUAAAAAAAAAAUAAACCCUGACCUUAUGUCUUGGAAUCAAUACCGUGUAUUGGUUCCAAGGCAAAAGAAUGGUAAGGGCUAGGCAAUGGGGAUUAAGUGACUUGCUCAGGUCACAUAGCUGGGAAGUAUCUGAGGUCAGAUUUGAACUUAGGAUCUCCUGUCUCUAGACCUGGCUAUCAAUCCACUGACCUAACCAGAUGCCCCCUGAUGAUAUUCUUUAUUCCUGUUCUUCAGAGUCCCUCAAGUGUUGCAGCCUGCUAAUACCUUCCAUGCCCCUCUCCAUUGUCAUCUUUGUGGUGUCCAUCUUUUUUGGAGGCAGUGGCAUAUCUGGGGCAGUUAGUGCAGUGAAUGAAGUAUCAGAUCUGGAAUCAUAAAGAUCUGAAUUCAAAUCCUGCCUCCAAAAAUUACUAGUUGUGUGACCCUCAGCAAGUCACUUACCCUGUUUGCCUCAGUUUCCUUAAGUUAUCCAUCCAAAUGCACAUUGAAAACUGAACAACAGACUUCCUUCAAUCACUUCAUCUGUCCCAGAUGAAUAAUCAAGCCAGACUCCUUUGGGUGAUUACAAAUCUCUUGGGGUGUUUGGAAUCUUUAGGAAGGACUAGCACCUAUGGCUUCAGUGUUUUCAGAAACCUCUUCAGAGAUACUCAUCCACCUUUGGUGUCCACCUUUCACCCAACUCUCACUUGGGGCUCUGAGACCCUGUAGCAUAUAAAAAGCCACACCCCACUAAAACCAUAUUGACGGACCAGCUAAACCAGGAGGAGGGUGACCAACAGGCCUCUGACUCAUAAGUAACUUAAGGGGGUGUCUAUUUCAAGCAUGUGAAAACCUCUCCUGCCAGAAUGGGCAGUUGAGAACAGUUUAUUCAAAUAGCCAUGGAGUUGGCUGAAGUGGGUACUUUGGAGUGCUUAGAACUUGGUCAGACAUCAAAGAUGCUAAGGUCAUUUAUUGCCUCCUGGGCCACUGCCAGUCAUCAUAACUUUUGUCUUGCUGAAUUUGAAUGACUGGGAGAGAGAGGAAGGCUGAUUAUUCUGUGCAACUCUGCCUCACCUAAAUCUAAUUCAUGUGUAAGUCAAAAUAUUACCAAGGGAUGCCAUUGGUCCUCUUUGAAAAUGAAGAACAACUAAAACAAUACCCAGAUCUCUUCAAGAGGCUCUGCAGUAUUCCGUGGUUUGAUGAAAUCAGUACAACACCCAGAGGACCUCACUUUCCACAGGAAAACUCUCUUUGACCUGUACUCUGUGCUAGUUCUUCUCCAUUGUAAUAGUCAAUCUUUGGCAAGUAUAUACCUUCCAGUUUUAUGUUUUGUCAGAUAUUUCUUAUCAGAAUGUUACUGAAAAGUUUUAUUUCUUUCAUUACAUCUUCUAAGGAAAUGUGAAUGAUCUUAAUGUAUAUAUGGGGGACACUGGGUCUUUAAUGUAGCAUGUUGUUCAAUGAAUUGGAUGCUUCCCCCCCCCCUCAAAAUCCUUACUUUCCAUCUUGGAAUCAAUACUGUGUAUUAGUUCCAAGGCAGAAGAGUGGUAAGGGCUAGGUAAUGGGCAUAAAGUGACUUGCCCAAGAUCACAUAGUGUAUUAGGGAAUUGAUUUAAGGGUUAUGAUGAUUGAGAGAUCAGGUCUGUCACCCUCCUCCUUUUUGCUCCCUCCUCCCUUUUUCUCCUCCCUUCUCCCUCCCCCGCUCAUCAGUUGAUUUCUUCAGUUGGUGACACUGGAAGAUAACUCUGUGAGUUUUCUGAUAAGACUAAUAGGUAACUCUCUUUUGGAUGGUUUAAACAAGGGGGUUUAUUUAGGAAAAGGGGAAGGACAGGGAAAUUUGAUGGGAGAGAGGGUUUAGGGUUUCCCUAAUCUAAAAUACUCCUAAAUUGAAGAAUAAUAGAAUAGUCUUGAAUUGGAGAAUAUGGCUAACAGGUUGAGGAUUUUAGUCACUUUUUUCUUGUAGGGAGAAAUCAGUAAGAGAAGGAUCUUUCAGUCCUUACUCCUUCCUAUCUCAAGAGCAAGAGACCCCUCCUCACAGUUUGACUGUCCUGUCAUCAUUCCAUUCCAGAAUGCUUUUCUGAUUGACAGCUCUUCAGAUCUUACUCCUUCAGCUUUGUUGCAGGUCUUUCCAAUUCUCUCAUCCACAAUAGCUAGGAAGUAUCUGAGCUCAAAUUUGAACCCAGAACCUCCCAUCUCUGGGCCUGACUCUCAAUCCACUGAGCCACCCAGCUACCCCUGAACUGAAUGCUUUUUUUAAUGAUCAAAAGCCAGUAAGCACAAUGGAAUCUUAUAUUAAUGUCUUUCAGUUAAUUGUGAAAUGAUAAAGAUGUGGUCCAUUGUUGAAUAUUGCUUGUGAAGACUGCUUGUCCAUUACUUCUAAAGAUACUUUCAAUAUGUAUAGAUUACAAUAAAAAUUUGUAUUCCUGGGAGAACAGAUAUAUGCCUUUAAUUAUGAAUAUACUUUUGGUUUCCUUGUUUUCAGUACUAAUAAGAUCUGAACUUCCCCUUUCUCCCUUUCCAUUCCCUCCCCAUGUCUUUAGUAUCUUCUCCUUUAAAUAUUUUGAGCAUGGGGACAGCUAGGUGGCUCACUGGAUUGAGAGUCAAGACUAGAGACAGGAAAUCCUGGAUUCAAAUCUGGUCUCAGAAACUUCCUAGCUGUUUGACUCUGGGUAAGUCACUUAACCCCCAUUGUCUAGCCUUUAUCCCUCUUUUGCUUUGGAACCAAUAUAGAAUGUUGAUUCUAAGACAGAAGGGAAGAGUUUAAAAAUAUUUUGCACAUUGACCCCUUAAUACUAUCACAAUUGUGUUAUCCCCAGCAUGGGUCAUCUCUAUGUGCAUUUAUUCCAAUCUGGCUGCUUCUCCUGUCUUUGUUAUGCUUAGUGGUAUUUCUACCUCCUUUCUAUGAACAGAGACAGUGAUGUUAGAGUACAAAUGUGAUGGUUCCACUACUCUUGAUGUAGAAAACAGUUUGUUGAAACAGGUUGCGCAAAUCUUUUCCAUUUUUCUUUUGUUUGUAGUCCUUCUUCCAUUUUCAUCCUUGAAUGCCCUUGGGAUGACUUUGCUUAGUUGGACUUGCUGCCAAGCUGUCAUGGUUUUACCCUCCAAUGCUUCAUGUUGCUUUAUGAGACAAAAUCGUCCAUCAUGCUUCUUUGUGUGAUUUUAUAGACGAAUUCAUGUUCUAGCCCAGUGUUGCCUUUGGCAGCCUCCUCUUUUUGUUUGGCAAAUACAUUUGUUGUUUUCUACCUAAGGCACUUUGUGGACUCUUUUGUCUCUUUGUUGUGGCAAUUAAAUUAUAUUGUCUUACCUUCUGGAUGAAAUUAUCAUAAUUCUUCCUUAUAAGCCUUAAUUUAUAUACUUUAUUCCUUGAUAUUUACACUUAAUUCCUUCCUUAAUUCCUCUUAUGAACUAUUCUUGAUGUUUUUGAACUUCCUCUGUUGCCUUUGCAGGGGGCCUCGCAGAAUUUGCUAUUGUACUGCCUUUUCUAGCUAGCCCCUAAUCAUACUCUCACUUGAGACCUGAGUCCCCUGAAGGAUAGCUUGUUACCUUGAGUUGACAGAUACUCUGUGAGGCUGAAUAUUUCAAACUAUAGCUCAUGAUUGUCCUUGCCAUGAAUAGAUAGUACAAUUCAUAGCAAUGGUGUUUCUUAAGUGAGCAUAGUAAAAACAAUAGCUAUCAAAUGCUCCCUCUCUCAACAAAAGGAAUAUUAUUGCAUAGGGUCAAUGAUAAAUACAUAGGUUGGCAGAAACCUGGAGAACACUAGUAGUGAGGCACAUAGCAAUGGAAAAAAAAUGUGCUCAAGGCAACCCAAAUGCUUUCCUUUCUUGUAGUGAUUUCAUGCUGUUCAUUUGUAGGCCUGAUGUAGCUGCUGAGUGGAUCACUCCAACUGGGCCUAGAACUUUAUGUAUCUUGACUCCUGAAUACCAAGAUUAAUUUCCUCUUGCAUCUCAAAUUGGUUCUCUUCUCUGCUGCUGAGCGUCACACUUCUUAAAAUUGUCUCCCCUGAUAUCUCUCUCUAUCUCUGUUCCUAGCUGGAUGAUGCUUUCUCCUAGUUUUUUCCUGCACCUUUGCUACAAGAUGCUAUGAUGGAGAAGGGAAGGAAGAAGAGAGAUAAAUCACCUCCUGUCAUUUAUUUCCUUAUAGUAGAGGCAUACUAGGAAAGGCUCUUCACUGGAUUUCCAGGGGUCAUAUUUGAUAGUUGUUUCCUAUCUCAACCAGCUCUCAGAAUUGACAAGCUUUGAGGUCCACUAGAGGCCUGACCAAUCUUCAUUUAGCCAAUGACAAGCUGUCCUUUUAAUCUCAUAGAAGAACUCCUUCACAACUUCCAAAUGGUAACAGGGUAUAAACAUGUUUUUGCACUUCUCUUAACACAUUAACACCUCUUCUCUCUCUUAUCCAUUCCCCCUUCACGAUUUCAUUAACUGUACUGGGAGUGGAGGUGGGGAAUCAAUUGGUUAGGAACCAACCCUUCAAAUUCUGUGUGAUAUCUUUACCUUCUCCAGGGGAUUUUGACUCAGUUUCUUGGAUUAUAAAGCGGUUCCUUGAAAAGGAUCUUUUUUUGAGUGUUUUCUUAAUUUCUAUUUCCUCAGUCAGCUUUUGUCUGUCUUAAUCAAUCACUCUGCUCAUUUUACUAUGGUUUCCUUGCUAAAAAUGUGCUUACUUGCAAUCCUUUCCCUCCAGAAGGCCAAGAGUUUCUGUGCUUUCUUUCUGUCCUUUCCCUAUAUUUGCUGUCUAUAUACUCUUCUCUCAGAUCAUUAGGCGAUAGUGAGAGGUUAAUGUUCCACCAAGGGUGAAGGUAGCCUGUGGGGAUGCUACUGCAGGGAAACUUUGAGUAGUCCCUGUAAUUGGUCUUAUUCCCCAACCAGUCGAUCUCUACUGGACUCCACAGUCUACUCAGCAACUGAUUUUGUUCAGUUGCUAUACUGACCUUUAGGGUCUGGUUGUGAAGGGGCAUUUGUGGGUAGAUCCUCUCUUAUACUGUUGGGGAGAAUGGGUAGGAAGGUUUUUAUUAUCUUUUCUCCCUUCAUCACAUUCCUAUUGGGCUGUCUUAUUCUUCCUAUGCUACAUAAAGUCAUUUGAAGCAAUACUUACUAAUAAAUAAUCAUUUAUUUAUUGCUAGCCACUAUACUAGGCACUGAGGAUACAAAUAGAGAGACAUAAUCUCUCUUUGCAGACUUAGAUUCUAAUAGGGGAGAAAUAAAGUUCUUAUAACAAUAUAUACAGAAUAAAUAAAAAGUUAACAUAAAUGCUAUAUAGUUGAAUGUGUAGUAGUUUGGGAGAGAGCACAGUUAGAAGUCAGAAAAGUCUUUUUGAGGGGAUUCUCCUAGUGGUUCCAACUUUUGUUGCUGUUAAGCUGCCAUCUUGGCACUGCCUCCAAGGCUCUUUGUAGAAAGUGGCAUUUGAUAUUCUUCUUGAAGGAAGAGAGGGAUUCUGUGAGGCAGAGGGGAAGAAGGAAUGAUUCUAAGCUUCCCUCUAUUUCUUGCCUUCUUGCCACCCAUACUCUUAACUAGCUUUCUCUUAUUUUUGAAUCUUGGAGCUGGCCUGACUCAUGAGCCUCCCUGUUAGUGAUAUUUUACCACUUGAUUUGCAGAGGGAUAAACUUCUAGUGUUUAAAACUGUAACAGUCCUUUAGGUAGUUAGUAGGAAGCAGAAUUGGGGGAGGGAAGGCAGUCCAGAAGUCAUGGGGGUACUAGGAUCAAUGGGUUGUUAAUCAUUUUUCAUUUCUUUUUGGUACAAAUUUUCUUGUAUCAGUUUUUUUUCUGCACUACUUGUCAUUUCUAAGAUUUUUGCAUCUGAGGACUUGCUACUUGCAUUAUUUGGUAUGAUACAACUUAGUCCUGCCCUUUCCCCAGGAUUCCUUGAGAGAAUAUUUUAAGUAUUUUGAAUGUUGAAUAUUUUGGGCUGGGCAGAAAGGGAAGAUUGUUUUUUGGCAGGAGGGUAGAGAAGUCUAUUUUAGGGGCAGGGAGGGAUCCUUCCAUUAGUAGCCUUCUAAUACUAGCUCCUCAGUUUCCUACUAUUUUGAGGGCGGGUGCUACCUGCCUCUUCAGUUCUGCCUUUGUCCACCUCCUAACCAUUCUCCUUUUUGUCCUCAUAUGUAGAUCAGAUGAGGUGAUGUAAGAGAACAUGCUUUACAAAUGUCAGAUGUAAGCAAUGGUGUAAGAAUAGAAUAGAAUUUGUUCCCCAGCCCUCCCAACUUUCAGGUACUAAACAUUUGGAUAUCAAGGACCAUGUUCAGUGCAAAGAGGUUAGAGAAACCUCUUGGGGACCUCGAGUGGCAGGAAAUUCUUCUACCUAAGCACCAGUCAGUGAUUCAGUGUGAUCUCUACUCCAAACACAUGAAGACUUCUGACAGAAUGUGCAGAUAAGAACCCUUUGUUCCAAUGGCCCUGAAAGUAGCUGAAGCAAACACUGUGGAAUGCUUCCUAUGUGGUUAGAUCCUGAAGAUGCCAAGAAAAUUUGUUUCCAGUGAAGUUUUCUGAAUCGGAUUUUCAACUUCAUUGAUAUUCCUUAAGUAUAUUCCAGAAAGAACUCUGAUGGGAAGAAGACUGGCCUAGGAUUAAAAUCUUGUGGUGUGCUUGUCAUUACCAAAGCUCUUCUUGAGGCUCAGCAAGACCUUAUAGCAGAGGUUCUAGUUUUUUUCCUGCAUACCUCAUAUAGUCCAGGAACCAGUAAGCAUCCGCUGAUUGUAUCCUUUAGCCAAGGGGUAGAGCAAGUAUCGCAUUCUAGAUGGGUUUGGUGUUCAAGCCCAUCUUUAUAUGUGGUCUGAGGGAUGGCUUCCACGACAUGAGAUUUAGAGGCAGUAUCAAAGUCUUUCGACUUAAAACCAGUGCUCUUUCCACUAAACCCCCAAGAUAAGGUGAUUAAUUUGUUAAUAAUAUUUGAGAACUUUGCUUUGGAUCUCAAGGGUUCCUGUGGUAUCUUUUGACAGGUGAGAUUGCCAUGUAAAACACUCGUUUUGUCACAUCAGUAACUAAAGCCCUUUGGAUGUGAUUCAAGAAAGAUCUAUUUAAUAUCACUUCAUAUCCUGUCUACUCUAUGGUGGAUGCUAUCCAGUCCAAUCGAGUAAACAUUUUUAAGUGCCUAUACGUGUAGUUCUAUACUAUACAUGGGUUACAAUUAAUAAAAAGGUAGUCCCUGCUUUCAAGGAACUUUCUGUCUAAUUUUGGGGGGGGGAUUUCAGAAAAGGGGACAGGAAAGUGAGCAAGAAUGGGUGGCUUGGGACAUUACAGGGUACCUUGUUCUGUAGAAUUGAAAAAACCAGGCAGGGCAGCAGAUGCAGAAUAGAGGCAGCCCAAAGCUCCAGUUUCUGCUCUUUCUAAAUGAAGCAAUUGGGAAGAGUUUGGUGGGAUUCCUUUCAGCCCUCUAAUCAAAGAAGAGAAGAGGUGUAGGAAGGUGCAGGGCAUGAGGAAGCAUCAUCAUGAUGGCAUUAGAGUUGACCCAAGUGUAUAUGUGGUAUAUAACUCCACAAUUGCAUGCAAUUAAGGGAGAGAUAACUCCAAAUCUAAAAUAAGGGACAAUUUUUCUCCCUUUGUGGCAUAGUACAGUCAAAAGAAUUCUGUAUUUGGUAUCAAAUCUUUGUUCAAAUCCUGGCUUUGACAUCUGCUUUCUAUGUGAUUGAGGGCAAGUCAUUUAAAUCUUCUGAGCCUCAAAUUCUUCAAUUUGUAAAAAGCUGGGGGGUGGCGGGGGAUUGGGCUAGAUGCCCGCUAAAGUCCAUUCCAUGUCUAAAUCUAUGCUCAUGUAUGCUGAUUUUGCAGUUAAAAUAGGUUUUAGUUUGUUUUAUAAUUUCUGUGGGCCCAGAAGGAAAAACAGACGUCAUUGGGUGAAGGUGAAACCUUCUAGUUCAAUCAUCAGAGCACUACUGUCCUUGUUAAGCAACUUUAAAGCUUGGCGAAAAUAGAAUAGGUCAAGUUUGUCUCAAUUAAAACCAUUUCAGUAACUCCAGGGUUCCUAGAAAAGGAAAAUCGGGACCAGUCUUUGGGAUGUCACUGGGCUGUCUCUAUUCAUUCCCUACCAUGCACUUUAAAGCCAAAGAGAGAUCCUUAUGAGCCCUAAAGUUAAAGAAGCAAAGCUUGUGGUUGAUAACUUUUUCAUAUUUGCCUAAAAAGAGAACAGUAAAAUGUAGGAAGAAAUACAUUUGUAUUUCCCUUCAAAGUAUGAAAAAGGGAAAUGGAUUGAAACAACCUUGUGAUUCUGACCCUGUAUGAUAGAAGGGACAUUGGAUUGGAUCUCAAAGGCUAGAAUAUAAAGGACUGUGAAUAACAUAGCAUUCUCAUUAGGGUCAUUUUGACAACUGUUGUUUUAAACAACAUUUCAGCCAGCAAAUAACCUGUUGAGAUGCUCUCACAUUUUUAGAAGCAUCCCAGGGAGAAGCAUAUGACAAGCUGCAGUGCACAUGGUGGUGUGAGAGAUAAAGUUCAUCUAUCUAAAAUAUUUAAAAUUAAGCCAUUCAUCAUAACAGCUGCAUACUGGCUUCAAGUGAUCAGCCACUAAUGAUUUUGAAAUUCUGAGCUAAAAAGAAAAAAUCUUAGCUAGUGUCUUUUUUUUUUAAAGUGGUAAGGAUAAUCUUGACUCUGCUAGUGAGGGAAAGUCCAAAGUUCAUGUGCAUGUUGAUAUGAAAUAAUGUUAGGGCUUUCUCCCCGACUUGGAAUUGAGUUUUAUAGUUCUGAGGUACUUAAUCUUUUUCCAAAUAACUAAUAAUUAGUGCUCUGAGAUUCAACAGGAUAAACGAGGCUUUUUUGACACUAGAUUGACCCAGAAGAAUUACUUGUGCUUUUAUUUUGUCUUUAGGGGAGCACCCAAGAAUGAGAAAAUUUUGGGGAAGGUGACCUUCCAGACGCCAUUUUAUACUAACUUUUCUGUAUUCUUUACUUAAAUUGUUUUUUUUUUUAACUUCACUUUUCAAGCUACCAUUUAUAUUGGUAGAUUUUUUUAAAGGAAAGAAUGAGUUAUUUCCUGCCUUAAUGUCCUAUGAAUAAUAUUCAGACAGUCUAGCUAAUUGGGUUUUACAUACUGAAUACGCCAUUAAUGAUUUCUGAAGGACUUUACCAUUCCAUAUGGACAUUAGUCAAUUACUAUUAAGCGAGGAGCUUAAUUUUCAUUCUAAGGGGAACAUUCCUAAGGAGUUUCCCUAAAUUUAGUUUUAAUCAUCCCAUUUUGUAUAUUUUGAAAUAGUAGUAGUACUAGUAAUAGUAGUAGUAUUAAUAAUAAUUCCAUGUAUUUACAUAGCCCUUUGCCGAUUACAAAUUAUUUUAUAUACUUCAAAGUCCUGUGAGAUAGAAAGGGUAGUUUUAUCAUCCCCAUUUUACAGAUUAGGAAAACAUGGCUAAAUAACUUGCCAAUGAUCACAAAAUUAUCAAGUUGUAAGGCCAGAAUUCAAGUCAAGGCUUUGUGUUUUCUCUUCAUUCUACCAUACUCUGACUGCUGCUUUGACAAUUUGUCAUAUCUUUAAGGCUUCAAUUUCCUCAUCUGAAAAAUGGUGUGUGUGUGUGUAUGAGUGUGUGUGUGUGUGUGUGUGUGUGUGUGUGUGUGUGUGUGUGUAGUUUGGGUUAGAUAAUCCCUCCAGUUACUUCUAGUUAUAAAACUGUUUCCCUUAUUCUACAACCCCACUACUCUUUAUUCAAGACCCAGACUUUUAUUGGUGUCAUCUUAGAGUUCAUAAAUGACCUUGAAUGGCAACAGAAGAAAACUGACAGGAAUUCCUGUAAUACUAUCAGAAUCAAAUUGGUCCAACCCAACUGACAACUAUUAGGUGCCUCCUAAGUGCAAAAAUACAAAGAUGAAAACAAAAGUGUCUGCCCUCAGGGAUCAUACAUCUGAGCCCUUGAGCCAUUAAAAAUGUAAUAUCCCCAAAGCUAUAUUGAGAAAUAGAAACUGAUCACUAUUUAUAAGUUUUUUUUAGUAUAUGUAUAUAUUAACAUAAUUUAUUUACAAAUGUAAAUUUAUUUAUAGCCCUCAUUCCCUGUAACAUAGAAGACUUUAUCUUAGAGACAGAUAUGUAUAUAUAAAUUAUGUCUUUCUUGUUUCCAUUUAUCAGUUCAUUCUCUGGAGGUAACAUUUACUAUUUAGUCAAGUAUUAAAUCUGUUACUGUGCAUGUCUUCUUGGUUCUAUUCAUUUCUCUAUUCAUUAUCCCAUGUAGUUCAUUCCAAGUUUUUUUUUUUUUAAUUAGGUUGCUCAUUAUUUCUUAUGGCAGAAUAGUAUUCCAUCACAAUCAUAUACCAUCAUUUGUUUAGCCAUUCUCCAAUUGAUGGUCAUCCUCUCCACUUCCAGUUCUUUGCCACCACAAAGAGAAUUGCUAUAAAUAUUUUGUAACAUAUAGGUCCCCCCGGUCCCCCUGCUCUUUCCCUGAUCUCCUUGGGAAUCUCCUUGGUAUUGUUGGGUUUAAGGGUAUAUACAGUUUUAUAAUUCUCUGGGUAAAAUUCCAAAUUGCUCUCCAAAAAGGUUGAAUCAAUUCAUUGCACCACCAACAAUGUAUUAGUGUCACCAUUUUUCCACAUCCCUUCCAACAUUUGUUAUUUUGCCCUUUUGUCAUAUUAGCCAAUCUGAUGAGUCUGUAAGAAUUUGCUAACAGGUAGAUCUAAUGGUGCUUAGAAUUCACAUAUAGUCUUUUUUAUAGGAUAGUGAACUUUAGCUUUCUUUGGGAGACCUCUAGCUUUCUUUAUUCAUCAACAAUUGUAUCUAGCCACCCACCUCCCAGAUAACAGACUAACUCUAGAUUGUUUAUAUUAUGAACUCUAAAGGAUACAUCCAUAUUGGACUGACUGCUAUAGCUCCCUGGCUAAUAGCAGUUCUAUGAUGCUGCUCCUGGUGGUCUUUCUGCUUGUACCAUUGGAAUUCUUCAGUCUGCUAUAUUUUCAGUUUCUUACUUCAGUGAGUCAUACAUAAUCUACUACUUUGAGACCUCUGGGCACUUUGGACCCAGCUCAGCAAUGCUACAAUGGAUCUGUCCUUUAAUCUUUUUAUAUGUUAUGUUCUCUGAUAGAAUAUAUAGGUUCCUUGAGAAUGAAAGUCAUUGCAUUCCCAAUGGCUUAAGGGCUCAGAUCUAUUCUAUAUCUAAUAUUUUAUGUUUGUCCUUUAGAAGGCUUGCCUCAGAAAGUUAGGAACGAAUUCCAAGUAUCCCUACUUUCUCUCUAUCCUUGCCAAAUUUAUAUGGCAGUCAGACAGUGAGGCGGAUAGAACUCUCUGUCUAUAGUUAGGAAGACCUGAGUUCAAAAUUAGCCUCAGACACUUACUAGUGAUAUGACUCUCAGCAAGUCACUUAAUCCUGUUUGCCUCAAGUGCCUCAUUUGUAAAAUGAACUGGAAAAGGAAAUGGCAAACCACUUCACUAUCUUUGCUAAUAAGGCUCCAAAUGAUGUUAUGAAGAGUUGGAUAUAACAGAAAAACAGAAAAAAAUCCAAAUUUUGAUGCCUAACAUUGGUAUGGAAUUAGAAACUAAUUCAAGCAAAGCAAACUUGUAAAAUGACUAUCACAAGCAGAAGUAUAACUAACAGUGCAGUCACUUUGGUAGCAAUGUGUCAAAAAGAAAAAAAGUCAGGAGAGAGCCAUAUAAUGCUUUUUAUGGAAGAAAAUUCAUUUUUACUUAUUUUCCUUUUUUAAGAAAACUAAUUUAUUUAUUUAGAAUAUUUUUCCAUGGCUCCAUGAUUUUUGAUUUCCUCACCACUCUUUACCCCCCUCCUGGAGCUGACAAGCCAUUCCACUGGGUUAUACAUGUAUCAUUGUUCAAAACCCAUUUCCAUGUUAUUCAUAUUUGCAGUAGAGUGAUCUUUUAAUGCCAAAUCCCCAACUAUAUCCCCAUUGAACCACUUGAUCAAUCAGAUGUUUUUCUUCUGGGUUUCUGUUCCCACAGUUCUUUCUCUGGAUGUGGAUAAUGUUCUUUCUCUUAAGUCCCUCAGAAUUACUCUGGGUCAUUGUAUUGCUACUGGUAUAGAAGUCUAUUACAUUUGACUGUGCUAUAAGGUUUCAGUCUCUGUGUACAAUGUUCUCUUGGUUCUGCUUAUUUCACUCAGCAUUAAUUCCUGGAGGUUGUUCCAGUUCACAUGGAAUUCCUUCAGUUCAUUAUUCCUUCUAGCACAAUAGUAUUCCAACACCAACAGAUACCACAAUUUGUUCAGCCAUUCCCCAACUGAAGGGCAUCCCCUCAUUUUCCAUUUUUUCCCACCACAAAGAGUGCAGCUAUAAAUAUUUUUGUACAAGUAUUUUCCCUUAUUAUCUCUUUGGGGUACAAAUCUAGCAGUGGUAUGGCUGGAUCAAAGGACUUGCAUUUUUUUAAAGUCCUUUGUGCAUAGUUCCAAAUUGCCCUCCGUAAUGUUUGGAUUAAUUUACAACUUCACCAGCAUCUAAUGGAAUGUCUCAGUAUUUGUCAAAUAUUUGCUUAUCUAUCAAUUGAUCACCAAAUUUAUCUAUUAUAAAUAAAUAUGUAAUCUGUAUUAUCUCUAGGGCUAACAACAUGUAGACAUUUAUUACCCACUUUUGCAAAAAUGGCAUUUCCUUUUAUUAUUCUCAAAUUGCCUUCCAGUUUGAAGAGGGGUUCUUUAAUUCCAGGCUUCCAGAGUUUUGAGCCACUCUAUGUUCAUCUUUAGCCUUUGUGAUUUUGACCAUGUCUCAUCUUUUCAAAACAAAGAAUCCUAAUAUUUUUUAAUCUGUCUUCAAAAUUUCCCGUAUUAUUUUAAUGGCACUUCUUUGGGCCUUCUACAUCACCAUCAUACCCUGCUUUAGAGAGAGAGCAACCAGCAUUGCCCAUGGUCUUCCAAGGGUUUUACACACCAAAAAUCAUGACAUCCAAGGGUAAAAAGCUUCAUUUGCCCUUAUAAGACUCCAGAAGGAUCUUUUAAGGAAAGAUAAUAACCUGAAGUGAAUUCUGAAACACAUAAUAUCCCAUGUAAGAGGCAGCAAACUUUUCCCUGGGGUCACAUAGUGUACUGCCAUUACAAGAGACUGAUUUUAGAUUCUGAAACCCCUGGAUCUUAGGAAAGAAUGGAAUCACUGCUGUGAGUCCACAUAGCUAGCUAGUGAAAGUCUCUUGAUGCAUGCUUUUAUUCCAAUUGUGAGGAUCUCAUUUAUUUGAAGCAUCAGGGGGAAGGAAAAAAAACACCUGAGACUUUUGAUACACUUGUGAAAUACAGAUAUGAGAAGAAACAUUGUUGGGAUCAAUCAGAAUCAGCUGGUCACCUGGCUGGAGGGAGAUGGUGAUGAGGUGAAUAGUGAAGACUUUGAAUAUUCUCCCUUGAAUAAAGCUCUUUCCUUCCCUGGGGUUUGGACAAGGAUGAAUGAAAUCUGCUCCUGUUUGUACUGACAUCAAGUCCCCAAAGUGAAUGGCUUCUUCUGCAGCAGGGAGGGGGGUUCUGCUUUUCCUUUUCAAUAAGAGCUUUUGUGAUGCUCAGUUUAGAAUCUCUUGACCUGCCGUUCCCACCACCCCCUUGAAACUAUUGUCAACACAGGAUGUUGGGGGCAAACCUUGGAUAGGUAUGCUUCUAUUUGGCAAAAUGGCAAUAGUUCUAAAUCAGAUUUUCCCCUUUCUUUCCAUCUCCUAAACCCCAAAAGAUAUAUCCAAAGCGUUGCUUAACUAAGAGAUUUCUGAUGAGGAUUAGCAAUGAUCACUUGCCUGAUGCUACAGAUUAAUAAGGGACGAAACAAAAUAAAUAUAUAUUUUGUGUUUCUACCUAAGUUACAUUGUGGUGUUCAACAUAUUUUAAGAAGUGCAUUGGGACAUAUUCUAGGUAGAAAGAAUGGGAAGGGAGAGAAGGGAAGAUAACCCUAUUCUAAGAGAGAAAUAAUCCUUUUCAAGGACAUUUGCUAGGGCUUUUCUUUAAGGGGAGUGUUGUCCAAGUGUAUACUCAUAAAGUUCUCUUAUGUGAUAUAGGGACAAUAGAAUUUGAAAAGAUAUCAACAUGUUCUUGUGUUAUGAAUGUAGGGGCUGGGAUAACUGUGUGUUUCUUCACCAUGAGGUAGGGCAUUUUCUUCUACUGAUUACAAGUUAGCUCUUCUGAAUUAUGUCAUCAAAUUAUGAACCUGAUGGGGCAUGGUAGCAUCACAAGAUCUUUGAGGUAGAAGAGAUCUCAGAAGUUAUUUAGUUCAACCCAUUCUUGCAAUAUGAAUCCUCUCCAGAGUAAGUUCAACAAGCAGACAUUCAGUCUCUCCUUGAAGACCAUUAGUGAUAGCUAAGUAACCCCCAAAAUAGACUAUUACAUUUUUGUACACAUCUAGUUGUUUGGAAAAUAUCCCUCACAUUGAACUGAAAUUUACUUUUACACAUUAACCAAUACUUAUUGAAUUCUGCAGUAUUAUCACCAAGUUCAUUAUCUUGCUAUCUUGUUCACAAGGUCAGAUGUCCUUCUAAAGUUGAGGUAUUGCAUGUCUAGGGCAUUUACAUGAUUCAGUGGUUCUCAA